rfam:Garciella nitratireducens DSM 15102 genome assembly, contig: BP36DRAFT_scaffold00005.5
UGUAGUUAGGUCUGUGGUUGAAAGUCGAGGCCAGUCGCAGGCAAAACGAUCCACGUAAGGUAAUUAAAAAAUUACUGAGCAUGGUGCGGCUUAGAGGUAAGUCCAGCCAGUCUGUAGGCUGAGAGAGGAAUGGUGACGGUAAUCCCGAAGCUAAACUUCCAGCUGGCGAGUGUGGGGGCAAAGACCAGGUCAGCUAAGUACA